UCCAUAAUGCGGCCCGGCCCCAUCGGCCGGACGGUCACAAGCCCGUUAAACGCAGAGUGUGGG
rnacentral:ribozyme from 2 species